rnacentral:rRNA from 1 species
AGACGUAGGAUGCAAACGUUAUCCGGAAUUAUUGGGCGUAAAGAGUUUGUAGGCGAAUUGUUAAGUAGAACAUUAAAUACUUGGGCUUAACCUGAGAAAGGUGUUCUAAACUGGCAGAAUAGAGUAUGGCAGAGGCAAGUGGAAUUCUGUGUGUAGGGGUAAUAUCCGUAGAUAUACAGAGGAACACCAAAAGCGAAGGCAGCUUGCUGGGCCAUUACUGACGCUCAAGAACGAAAGCGUGGGGAGC